rnacentral:rRNA from 1 species
CCUACGGGAGGCAGCAGUAGGGAAUUUUCGUCAAUGGGCGCAAGCCUGAACGAGCGAUGCCGCGUGAGUGAAGAAGGCCUUCGGGUCGUAAAGCUCUGUUGCGGGGGAAAAAAGGCAGCAUCAGGAAAUGGGUGCUGACUGAUGGUGCCCCGCCAGAAAGUCACGGCUAACUACGUGCCAGCAGCCGCGGUAAUACGUAGGUGGCGAGCGUUAUCCGGAAUGAUUGGGCGUAAAGGGUGCGCAGGCGGUCCUGCAAGUCUGGAGUGAAACGCAUGAGCUCAACUCAUGCAUGGCUUUGGAAACUGGAGGACUGGAGAGCAGGAGAGGGCGGUGGAACUCCAUGUGUAGCGGUGAAAUGCGUAGAUAUAUGGAAGAACACCAGUGGCGAAGGCGGCCGCCUGGCCUGUUGCUGACGCUGAGGCACGAAAGCGUGGGGAGCAAAUAGGAUUAGAUACCCCGGUAGUC